GACGAACGCUGGCGGCGUGCUUAACACAUGCAAGUCGAACGGAAAGGCCCUGCUUUUGUGGGGUGCUCGAGUGGCGAACGGGUGAGUAACACGUGAGUAACCUGCCCUUGACUUUGGGAUAACUUCAGGAAACUGGGGCUAAUACCGGAUAGGAGCUCCUGCUGCAUGGUGGGGGUUGGAAAGUUUCGGCGGUUGGGGAUGGACUCGCGGCUUAUCAGCUUGUUGGUGGGGUAGUGGCUUACCAAGGCUUUGACGGGUAGCCGGCCUGAGAGGGUGACCGGCCAAAUUGGGACUGGGGUACGGGCCAGGCUCCUUCGGGGGGCAGCAGUGGGGAAUUAUGCACCAUUGGCGGAAGCCUGAAGCAGCAACGCCGCGUGCGGGAUUACGGCCUUCGGGUUGUAAACCGCUUUCGCCUGUGACGAAGCGUGAGUGACGGUAAUGGGUAAAGAAGCACCGGCUAACUACGUG
rnacentral:rRNA from 1 species